AUAAUCUAAACUAAUUCUGAUUUAAAUGUAGAAACAUAUCAAGAUGUCAGAUGAGUUGAUCCAGGAAAAUAUCAUCACAGAAUUGAUUUCUGGAAUAUUAAUAUCGAUAUUAAUAUUAAUGUCUUAACAUUUCGUCUUUUUAUUAACUCUCUACUUCAACUGGUUUUCAGCACUAUUUGUUGGGUAAUUUGAAUUCAGUACAAAAUCAUGAGUUAUCCUGUGAUGAUUAGCUAUUUUAAGACGAAAUGGAAGUUCGUUUCAGGUUAAAAGCCUACUAAACUAAUGCUAAGUAACCUAACUAAGAAAGUGCGUCUUAAAUUAGAUAACAACCCCUUCGCCCUGGCGUUGAGAAAAAUUGUAACCUUUAACCGCCAUUUACUGUUUACUCUUUGUUUUUACCUGCACAAAACGAUUAACAAUGUUAAUUAAUCAGAGUUGAAACCAAUUAAUGUUAACAGGCUUUUGAGAUGUUUAUUAGUCUCAUUUAUUGGUGCCAAGGAAAUUGAAGAUGAAUGAAUCAAAUCAAUAUGGGUGGACAUUAUAAUGGAUAGGAAGAAGGACAGUGUAUCACCGGAGGCUCAAUUUUGCGAAUUAUGGUUUGUGUAAGAGGAUGGAUGGUCCAAUAAAGGAGGAGGACGGGGAGGUGGAGGAAGAUGGAAGACGAGGAUGACCAAACAAGAAGAUGAAAGAGCAAGAAAUUGACACAGUAUCUUAAUGGUUUCUCCUUUUUCUUCAUCAGAAAAGCUAAUGAUUAAUAAGUUUUCAUGAUCAAUACUUUGGAAGCAGGAAAAAAGAUCUGUAUACAUUUCAAAGGAAUCUAUCUUUUAUCUUCAUGGAUGGUGUCAAGAAUGAAAAAGAUAAGGAAAAGGGCGCAAAGCAGAGGAAAGGAUAGAGAGGAAAAGUUCAUUUGAGGAAUGAAUUUAAUCGAUAUAUCGAUGGAGAUGAUGACGAAAAAAGAAGGAAAAGAGAAAUGAGAUUAAUCUAGUUUGAUUUUCCUUAUAAUCAGUAUCAUCUUAAAGAUCUUUGGAUAUAAAUGUUAACCAUGGUUAUAUUUCCUUCUAUUCAGACUGAAUAUAUUUUCAACAUUUGUCUGACGUCCAAUCAUCAACACCAUCUUUUUCAUCAUCCGAUUUCUGAACACAUCAUUACAUUAUCAACUUCAUUGGUCACUUUAUUGCUUUUUGCUCCAGUAAUGUCAAUAGGAUUUUUUUGUCCUUUCUGAUUCUCUUUUUUGCUGAAUCAGGUGAAUCAAUGGACUACAACAAUUUAGCCGAUGGCAAUUAAAGGCAGUUAAAAAGAUUGAGUUAGAUGUAUUAAUAAUAGUCUGGAGGACACAAGAAGAUGUGAGAAUAGAAUAAGAUUAGAAUGAUUAGAUUUUAUUUGAUUCCUUGCUGUGGCAAGUUGCUCAAUAAAUAUAGAUAUAAAAAUAAGAUGAAUGCUUGUUGAUUGUGCAUGUUGACAAUGAAAGGAAUGAGGAUAAAUGAUUUUCUUCUUGAGCUUUCUCCUUCCAAUCUAUUAAAAUACAAGCAAUAUCAACAAGGAA